rnacentral:misc_RNA from 1 species
CAACCCUCGGGCCCCCGCUUCUCGCGGGCGGCCGCGUUGGGGCUCAGGCGCCGUCUCUGCUCGGCGCCUGUUCCCUAAAUGCAGUGGCGGCCUCGCGUUGCCUCCUCCGCGUAGUAGCACAAACCUCGCGGCUGGAAGGCGGCGCGGCCACGCGUAAAACCCCCCAACUAUUACCAAGG